rnacentral:rRNA from 1 species
UACGAAGGGUGCUAGCGUUGCUCGGAAUCACUGGGCGUAAAGCGCACGUAGGCGGCUCUUUAAGUCAGGGGUGAAAUCCUGGAGCUCAACUCCAGAACUGCCUUUGAUACUGGGGGGCCUGAGUCCGGGAGAGGUGAGUGGAACUGCGAGUGUAGAGGUGAAAUUCGUAGAUAUUCGCAAGAACACCAGUGGCGAAGGCGGCUCACUGGCCCGGUACUGACGCUGAGGUGCGAAAGCGUGGGGAGCAAACAGG